ACAACAUAUGUAGCAAUGUAGAUGACAGAAGGUACAUACAGACAUCAAAGAGGUUCUUCGUUAUGUUUCCAUUUGCGAUUUAGGGAGCAUACAUUCAACGUAUAUCAUUGCGAAAACGACCUCGAUCAAACGGAGUAGGUACAGUAGUCCUAGAAAAGAUAGAUCAGUGAUCCAAAUCCUGGACAAAAGAGAAUUAGCUAACUUUAGGCAGUGCAAGCCACAUCAACUGAAUGAAUAAUGUGGAUCUAGUUCUCUUGCCUCAUUGAUUUUUCCAAGUGUUCGUUGAGGAUGAUAACACAAAGCUGAGGCAAUCAUAGUUUAGUUGGUAUUUUGGUGUACUGCAAUUAAAAAGGGCGAAAAUUUUCAGAGGUUAAAUGAGGGAGGCUGGUCUCUUGUACAGGAUUUUUUUUUUGAACGAACGGCACGGGCUGUGCCAUUUCUAUUAAUAUAGAAGAGAUUUACAUGUUUAUUUUAAAGACAAGGAUAAAGGAAAACUCGACGCCAGCAAAGCGCCCGCCUAUACUACGUAUACCGUAUAAGGUUAUACCCCCUCAAGUAAGGCUGCCAUGUGUUUCGCGCAGGUACAGGCCUUGUACAGGAUAUUGUUAGGUAACAUAUGAGGCUACGGAUAAAUGGGAAUUAAUGGGCGACUAAAUUGAAAUA
rnacentral:lncRNA from 1 species